GUCGUAUCGGUUAGAUCGGGAUACUCAUCAAACAAUAUCACACAACCGAGAAGAAUCCUUUGUCCAAUGGCGGGCCACGCCCUUCCGGGUAGCAGUAAUGCCGGUGGAUUACAAAGGCAGGGGACUCUCAAAUCAUUACACUCGGAGUCAUCAUCACAAUCACGAUACGACCUCUU
rnacentral:sRNA from 1 species